rnacentral:rRNA from 1 species
UACGAGAGGCGCAAACGUUAUUCGGAAUUACUGGGCUUAAAGAGUUCGUAGGCGGCGCAGAAAGUAGGGUGUGAAAGCCCUCGGCUCAACCGAGGAAUUGCGCUCUAAACUACUGUGCUUGAGGAAGCUAGAGGUGAGCAGAACAGAUGGUGGAGCGGUGAAAUGCGUUGAUAUCAUCUGGAAUACCGGAGGCGAAGGCGGCUCACUGGACCGGAACUGACGCUGAGGCGACGAAAGCGUGGGGAGCAAACAGG